UGGGGAAUUGUUCGCAAUGGGCGCAAGCCUGACGACGCAACGCCGCGUGGAGGAUGAAGACCUUCGGGUCGUAAACUCCUUUCGAUCGAGACGAAUGGCCUUUGGGUGAACAAUUCAGAGGAAUGACGGUACCGAGAGAAGAAGCCCCGGCUAACUCUGUGCCAGCAGCCGCGGUAAUACAGAGGGUGCAAACGUUGCUCGGAAUUACUGGGCGUAAAGCGCGUGUAGGCGGUUCGUUAAGUCGUCUGUGAAAGCCCAUGGCUCAACCAUGGAAGUGCAGCCGAUACUGGCAAACUUGAGUUCUGGAGAGGGUGGCGGAAUUCCCAGUGUAGAGGUGAAAUUCGUAGAUAUUGGGAGGAACACCGGUGGCGAAGGCGGCCACCUGGACAGAUACUGACGCUGAGACGCGAAAGCGCGGGUAGCAAACAGGAUUAGAUACCCAAGUAGUCCCUGAGCGGGCUGGCAAGGCGCAU
rnacentral:rRNA from 1 species